AGAUAACGACUACAAAUCUACCUCAAUCUGUGUUCUCAAAGGACUGAUAGCAGGCACCUGGUACAACAGCUGCAGUUCAAUUGAGCAUGGGCCAAAACUCUGAGUCAGCCAUCUUACCCCAUAAAUAGUGAUCAGCCCAAGAAUGAUAGCUCUUUCUUCUUGAGAAGGGAUGUGUUUUGAGGUUAUACCUGCUGCAGAGGUCCCUUAUUCCUUGGCAUCAAUAUACCUUGCUGAUAUAGCUCCUUGAAAUCCAGAUGGAAUAUGACCAUGAGAUUGUUUGCCAAGCAAGCCAAUAGUAUAUGGCAGUGCUGCAGUCCUAGCUGGGUUCUCAGGCAUGCUACUGUGGGAAAAGUGGCUUCAGAUGGAUGUGUGGGCUUUGGGUACUAUUGCACAGGAUUUUCAUCUCGUUAUAAAAAUUACCACCAGAAAAGCCGUUGGAAGAUAAAGAGAAAUUAA
rnacentral:lncRNA from 1 species